rnacentral:lncRNA from 1 species
GUCCUGAGGUGGCUGGUGUUGUAAGUCACCUGUGCUUGUUCAUUCUCCCCGCUGGCCUCUGGUUUCCUGGUUUCCCUGUUUCCCAGAGCAGGGCGUAACUAGUCCAAGGUCCCCAAACCCCGGUCGCCCCUUCCAUGCGUCUGACUGCCGGCAGUGUCAAGUUUCUCUGUCCAGCACAUGAGCCACGAGAAUGAAAAGUCUCAGAUGCUUUGUCUUUUGCAGGCUUCCUUAAGCUAACGCCUAGGAGUAGAAGGGAAACUGACUGACUUCUAAGCUGCACUUGGUUCAGACUUUGGAAGCCCACUGCAAGAGCUCAAGGGAUAGUUCCUAAGAGUAAAUAAAUUUAUGAGACCCAAGAUUACCGUGCAUUCACAAGGGUCUUUCACAGGUCAUAAAACCUUCCACAGG